rnacentral:misc_RNA from 1 species
UUAAGUUCAGCGGGUAUUCCUACCUGAUCCGAGGUCAACCUUGAUGUGGGGGGGGUUUCACGGCAAGAACCCGACGCGUUCCCUGAGCGAGGAUGUUUACUGCACUCGGUACGACGACGAGCCCGCCACUGGUUUCAGGGCCUGCGGCAGCCGCAGGUCCCCAACACAAGCCGGGGGCUUGAUGGUUGAAAUGACGCUCG